GAAACACCUCCCUUCUCCAACAAAAGACCUGAUGAAUUUAUAGAAUGUGAAGACCCAGUGGAUCAUGUUGGAAAUGCAACUGCAUCCCAGGAACUUGGUUAUGGUUGUCUCAAGUUCGGCGGUCAGGCCUACAGCGAUGUGGAACACACUUCAGUCCAGUGCCAUGCCUUAGAUGGAAUUGAGUGUGCCAGUCCUAGGACCUUUCUACGAGAAAAUAAACCUUGUAUAAAGUAUACUGGACACUACUUCAUAACCACUUUACUCUACUCCUUCUUCCUGGGAUG
rnacentral:sRNA from 1 species